UACGAAGGUGGACAAGCGUUGUUCGGAUUCACUGGGCGUACAGGGUGUGUAGGCGGUUUGGUAAGCCUUCUGUUAAAGCUUCGGGCCCAACCCGGAAAGCGCAGAGGGUACUGCCAGGCUAGAGGACGGGAGAGGAGCGCGGAAUUCCCGGUGUAGCGGUGAAAUGCGUAGAGAUCGGGAGGAAGGCCGGUGGCGAAGGCGGCGCUCUGGAACGUUACUGACGCUGAGACACGAAAGCGUGGGGAGCAAACAGG
rnacentral:rRNA from 1 species